rnacentral:rRNA from 1 species
CAGUCGUACCGGCGGAUAAUCAGCCUUUCGGGUACGAUUCUGUGGGGCGUGAGGAGCUUAACCGCCUUCAUGUUUUGCAUAUUCGUGCACAUUUGGUGUACUUGUCCGUGUGGUGGGUUAACAUCAAUUUCGGUCGUCAUAAAAUGAUUGGGGGAAUGUAGCUUUGGUCUCGUAUCGAAGUGUUAUAGACUCUGGUAGAUGUGACGAUGGGGAUUGGAGGAUUGCAACGGAUACCCCGUUUGGGGGCCACCCGUCUGAUCUCUGAAGGUUG